UGAGGAAUAUUGGUCAAUGGACGAGAGUCUGAACCAGCCAAGUAGCGUGCAGGAUGACGGCCCUAUGGGUUGUAAACUGCUUUUGUUUGGGAAUAAUCGACAUUACGUGUAAUGUUUUGCAUGUACCAUUCGAAUAAGGACCGGCUAAUUCCGUGCCAGCAGCCGCGGUAAUACGGAAGGUCCAGGCGUUAUCCGGAUUUAUUGGGUUUAAAGGGAGUGUAGGCGGUUGGUUAAGCGUGUUGUGAAAUGUAGAUGCUCAACAUCUGACUUGCAGCGCGAACUGGCUGACUUGAGUACACACAACGUAAGCGGAAUUCAUGGUGUAGCGGUGAAAUGCUUAGAUAUCAUGAAGAACUCCGAUUGCGAAGGCAGCUUACGGGAGCGCAACUGACGCUGAAGCUCGAAGGUGCGGGUAUCGAACAGG
rnacentral:rRNA from 1 species